CACGGACCAAGGAGUCUCACAUAUGUGCGAGUAUAGGGGUGGCAAACCCCCAUGCGUAAUGAAAGUAACAGUGGUGGGACCUUUGGGCACCAUCCGCCGGCCUCUUGACUUCGGUCUAUCGGUCUGAGUGUGAGCAUACAUGUUGGGACCCGAAAGAUGGUGAACUAUGCCUGAAUAGGGUGAAGCCAGGGGAAACCCUGGUGGAGGCUCGUAGCGAUUCUGACGUGCAAAUCGAUCGUCAAAUUUGGGUAUAGGGGCGAAAGACUAAUCGAACUAUCUAGUAGCUGGUUCCCUCCGAAGUUUCCCUCAGGAUAGCUGGAGCUUGUGCAGUUUUAUCGGGUAAAGCGAAUGAUUAGAGGUUUGGGGGCUGAAACAGCCUUCGCCUAUUCUCAAACUUUAAAUAGGUAAGCUCUGGGUUACUUAAUUGAACCUAGGGGUGUAAUGAGAGCUCCAUGUGGGCCAUUUUUGGUAAGCAGAACUGGCGAUGCGGGAUGAACCGAAAGCCGGGUUAAAGUGCCAAACUGCGCGCUAACCUAG
rnacentral:rRNA from 1 species